GUCUUUUUUGUGAAGCAUCGCUUCUCCCUCUUCUCACCACCCUUUAGUUAUGCUUCUUCAGCAUCAUUACAUCUUAUAAAACCGUGAAAAAAAAUUGCAUUUGUAACUUCUUCUGAAUUUUUUCAUAGAUAAUUUCUAAAUCAUUUUUUCUAAUUAAUUUGGUCUCUUCUAAUCUCUUCCAAACAAAAACCAUGAAACAUUUUUAUUUGGAGAACCCUCAAGUCCUUUUCCCGCAAUGCGGUAGUCUGUACUUUUUCACUAACAAUCUAUCUACUGGCACAAUCAAUUAGGCUUCCACUGAGCCACCAACCGUCUAUUCUCCACUCCCGCCCAUGCUUCGAUCAAUCUUACCUUGAAUAAAUAGACGAUGAGAGGAACAAAGUAUAUCAUUAGUUGAAACUUGGGUAGAGUAUGGCGUAUAGUAAUAAGUGUCGAUGAUAUCUUCGACAUUCUUCAUCUAACCUUUGCGAUAACCAAUAUGAUCUCAUUCUAAUUAUUAUUCAAUGAUAAACUUCCUCCAUUUCUCAGAGAA